rnacentral:lncRNA from 1 species
CGGCCCCGCCUCUGACCCGGGCGGGCUCGGGGCUGCGGGGCACCGCGGCGAACAGAGGCAGCGCCUGAGCGGGUCGGAGACAAUGGGCAACGCGCCGCUGCGGGCGCUCUGUUGCGUGGGAGCGAAUGCAAAGAAGAACGGGAAGGAGAGUCUAGAUGUGAAAAGGACACGGCAGGAAAUGACCACAUCUGAAGAAGAACUUCAAGGUCAAGGUAAAGAAUUUCCAUGCUCUUCUAAUCAGGACGAGGGCAGCAGCGGCUUUGAGGAUGUGUGCUAUACCGUCAUUGACCACACUGCCCGCUGCCGGCCGUCCCUGAACUCCAAGGACCACAGCUAUGAGAACCUGGACACCGCCAGGAGGGGAGGCGGGUUCCGCAGGGAGGCGCUGGAGACGGAGUACGCCCUGCUCAGGACCUCGGGGGUCGGCUCCUCUUCCUACUCGCCUGAGCCAGACUACGAGCUUGUGCUCCCGCGCUGACCCGAAGGCCGCGGCCACCUGCCGGCCCGGAGGUGCAGGAGAGGGUCCUCACUCGAGCUGGCCUGGCCCUUGCUCUGCCCCCGUGCGCUCCCUGUGGCUUCGCUGUGGUCUGGGGAGGGCACAGACGCGGACUUGGUGGCUAUGGGCUCUGGGCUGCUCUGUAAAUGCUGAGGGUCUGAGCUGCUGAGGACUUCCCCGGGCCAGAAGGACGCGCAGGUCCAGCUUCCCCGUCGGCCUCUCAAAUUCAGACGCCAGCAUCUCCUGUCCAGGACGCGCUUCCUUUCUGAAGUCUAAUAAACUGUAAAAGUAUAAGGCCAGGGACCAGACUCUGCUGCCCUGUUGAUUAAUUUGUCUUUUGUGUGGACUGGAGAAUCUUAUUUUGUGGUCAAAGUUCAAGAAUCCAUGUUUUUAGCAUUGUCCUUUCUGAGAGGAGGCACUGAAUGUGUCACGGGGAGGAAAGGAAACCCCGCCCACCCUCACCUUUCCUGUCUAGUAGUUAACUGGAGGAUUCUGUUCAGAUUAGCAGAAAAUGAAAAACAGAACAAACUUGUACAUGCAGCUUGGUUCACAGUGUAGCGUUGAUUGAACUUGUGAUUAGAUACCUCUUCUGAAGGAAGAGUGUCUGCUUGUAAAAUUCCAGAAAUCUGGUGACUAAUCCAUCUAUUUUUACUGUCCCAAUGAAUUUUUAAGUUAUAUUUGAACUUCCUAGGAAAUAAGUACCCAAAGGCCUUAACAGUCAAAGCAUUUGUGAUGUGUUUCUGUGUAGUGAUGAGGAUCCGUCAAUAAUAUAAAUAAAUUUGAACCUUAGGUAACGCAAUUGCGGUGUGCAAGUGUUGACUCUUCUGUUGCCUCCAAGUUUUAGCAAAUUCCUGUGCUUCCCAUGGUGCAGUGGGUGUGGGGAAAACUUAACAGAAAUCCUGUAGCUCUAGG